CUUGUUGGCGGGGUAACAGCCCACCAAGGCGACGAUGGGUAGCCGGCCUGAGAGGGUGUCCGGCCACACUGGGAUUGAGAUACGGCCCAGACUCCUUCGGGAGGCAGCAGUCGAGAAUCUUCCCCAAUGGGCGAAAGCCUGAGGGAGCGACGCCGCGUGAGGGAUGAAGGCCCUUUGGGUUGUAAACCUCUGUUAGGGGGAAAGAACAGCAGUGGGAGCAAUAUGUCCAUUGCCUGACGUUACCCCCAGAGAAAGCUCCGGCCAACUCCGUGCCAGCAGCCGCGGUAAUACGGGGGGAGCAAGCGUUGUCCGGAAUCAUUGGGCGUAAAGGGCGUGUAGGCGGUUUGGCAAGUCGAAUGUGAAAUCCCACGGCUCAACCGUGGAACUGCGUUCGAAACUGCCUUACUUGAGUGCGGGAGAGGUGUGCGGAAUUCCUGGUGUAGCGGUGGAAUGCGUAGAUAUCAGGAAGAACACCGGUGGCGAAGGCGGCACACUGGCCCAGCACUGACGCUGAGGCGCGAAAGCGUGGGGAGCGAACGGGAUUAGAUACCCCGGUAGUCCACGCUGUAAACUUUGGGCACUAGGUAUUGGAGGUCUCAACCCCUUCAGUGCCGUAGCUAACGCG
rnacentral:rRNA from 1 species